AAGUUGGAGGAUGAGGAAUUGGUCUCCUAUAUCCUCACCGGCCUUGAUCAAGACUACGACUCAGUGGUGUCCGCGGUGGCGGCACGUGUCGAACCGAUCUCAGUUGGGGAACUAUUCACCCAAUUGACAUCGUUCGAGU
rfam:Sorghum bicolor cultivar BTx623 chromosome 9, whole genome shotgun sequence.